GCUAGUAAUCGCAGAUCAGCAUGCUGCGGUGAAUACGUUCCCGGGCCUUGUACACACCGCCCGUCACACCAUGAGAGUCGAUAACACCCGAAGCCUGUAGUCUAACCAUAAGGGGGACGCAGUCGAAGGUGGGAUUGAUAAUUAGGGUGAAGUCGUAACAAGGUAAC
rnacentral:rRNA from 1 species